GGAUGUGAGGACGAUCUGGCUGCGACAUCUGUCACCUCAUUGAUCACCAGGGUUCAUUCGGCUGAUCUGGCUGGCUAGGAGGAUGUCCUCUUCCUCCCUCACCGCUCCAUGUGCGUCCCUCCCAAAGCUGCGCACUCGGUCGAAGAGGAUGACCUUCCCCUCUAAAGGAGAGGACUGUUCUUCAAUCAAGGGUAUACAAGUAGCUGCUCUCCCUGCUAGAACUUCCAAACAAGCUCUCAAGAGUUUUGCCAGCAAGAGGGUAGAUGGGUGCUGGGGUAGAAAGGAAACUGUAAGAUAAGGUGCAAAAGAAUGUCACCUCAAUAUAUUUAAUUUUAAAAAAGAAUAGGCAAUUAGGU
ensembl:misc_RNA 7SK 7SK RNA